GAUGAACGCUGACAGAAUGCUUAACACAUGCAAGUCGACUUGAACCUCCGUUUGGGUGGCGGCCGGGUGAGUAACGCGUAGAGAACCUGCCUCACAGAUAGGGACAACAUUUGGAAACGAAUGCUAAUACCUGAUAUUAUGAUUAUAUGGCAUCGUAUAAUUAUGAAAGUAAUAUGCGCUGUGAGGGGGCUUUGCGUCCCAUUAGCUAGUUGGAGAGGUAACGACCCACCAAGGCGAUGAUGGGUAGCCAGCCUGAGUGGGUGAUCGGCCAGCAGGGGACGGAGAGAGGGCCCUUACACACACGGGAGGCAGGAGGGGGGAGGAUAGGUCAAAGGACCAAGAGUAGGAUGAAGCAAUUCUGCGGGGACGAUGAAGUAUUUCGGAAUGUAAAGUGCUUUCAGUUGGGAAGAAAAAAAUGACGGUACCAACAGAAGAAGUGACGGCUAAAUACGUG
rnacentral:rRNA from 1 species